UGGGAUGAGCUUGCGUCCGAUUAGCUAGUUGGCGGGGCAACGGCCCACCAAGGUGACGAUCGGUAGCCGGCCUGAGAGGGUGAUCGGCCACAUUGGGACUGAGAUACGGCCCGGACUCCUACGGGAGGCAGCAGUAGGGAAUAUUGCACAAUGGGGGAAACCCUGAUGCAGCAACGCCACGUGUGGGAAGAAGCAUUUCGGUGUGUAAACCACUGUCGUGAGGGAAUAAGGCAUUUUUUCGGAGAUGUUGAAUGUACCUCGAGAGGAAGCACCGGCAAACUUCGUGCCAGCAGCCGCGGUAAUACGAGGGGUGCAAGCGUUGUUCGGAAUCACUGGGCGUAAAGGGAGCGCAGGCGGAAGCUCAAGCGGAUUGUACAAUACCGGGGCCCAACCCCGGACCUGCAGUCCGAACUGGGUUUCUUGGAUAGUUCAGGGGCAGGC
rnacentral:rRNA from 1 species